UACGGGGUGGGCAAGCGUUGUUCGGAAUUACUGGGCGUAAAGGGCUCGUAGGCGGCCAACUAAGUCAGACGUGAAAUCCCUCGGCUUAACCGGGGAACUGCGUCUGAUACUGGAUGGCUUGAGUUUGGGAGAGGGAUGCGGAAUUCCAGGUGUAGCGGUGAAAUGCGUAGAUAUCAGGAGGAACCCCUAUUGCGAAGGCAGCUCGCUGGGACGUCACUGACGCUGAGACGCGAAAGCGUGGGGAGCAAACAGG
rnacentral:rRNA from 1 species